ACACCGAAUUCCCAAGGUUUCCGUCGCGAGGUUCGUCCUCGACGGGUUAGUCGGUUCCUAAGGCGAGGCCAAUUGGCGUAGUCGAUGGACAAGCAGUCAAAAUUCUGCUACUUGUUUUAAGUCGCAAGAGUGUCCCGAUUUAUCGGGAUGCUAACUGGGGGUUGACAGAGAUGGAUAAUUGAAGUCCCGAGUUGAAGCGGGGUGCAAGUUGCGAGAUAGUUCCGAUUAGAAAAACUAUCGGGAUGAUUAAUCGAGCAGUGAUGCAGAGUCUGGUGAAAACUGGACAAUUUCAUACUAUUCAACUUACGAGAAAAGACUCGCAGUGAGACUUAAGGUAAGCCGUACCGUAAACCAACACAGGUGGGAUGGUAGAGAAUACUAAGGUGAGCGAGAGAAGGAUCUUUAAGGAACUCGGCAAACAAACUACCCGUAACUUCGGGAGAUGGGUUGCCUGUUAGAUAGCCGUAAGGCGUCAUCUAAUGGGUUGCAACUAAAGAGUGCUAGUCGACUGUUUAUCAAAAACACAGGUCCGUGCAAACUCGAAAGAGGAGGUAUACGGGCCGACGCCUGCCCAGUGCUGGUAAGUUAAAGGGAUCUGUGGUCGCCGCAAGGUGACUGCAGUGAACUGAAGCUCCAGUCAACGGCAGCAGUAACUAUAACUGUUCUACGGUAGCGAAGUUCCUUGUCGGGUAAGUUCCGACCUGCACGAAAGGCGUCACGAGCUAGCAACUGUCUUGAAGAUUCACUCGGCGAAAUUGCGAUGGCUGUGAAGACGCGGCCUACUUGUACCAGGACAAAAAGACCCCGUGGAGCUUUACUGUAGUCUGGCAUUGGUUUGUGCAUUUCAAUUGUCAAGAAUAGGAGGGAGCCGUAAGGCAAUAAUGUAAUACCUCUCUUUGGGAUGUUUCAAAUCUAUACUUAUAAGCCUUGAAGACAGGUUUGAGGAAGGUGUCAGAUGGGCAGUUUUACUGGGGCGGUACCCUGCUAAAAGGUAACGCAGGGGUACAAAGGUUGGCUUACCACGGAUGGAAAUCGUGGGUAAAGCACAAAGGCAUAAGCCAGCUUGACUGCAACACCGACGGGUGGAGCAGGUGCGAAAGCAGGUCUUAGUGAUCCCCCGUUUCUUCAUGGGAAGGACGGGGCUUAACGGAUAAAAGCUACCCCGGGGAUAACAGAGUAGUCGCGCCCGCGAGUCCAUAUCGACGGCGCGGAUCGCUACCUCGAUGUCGGCUCAUCACAUCCUGGGGGGGGAGCACCUCCCAAGGGUUGGUCUGUUCGCCCAUUAAAGUGGUACGUGAGCUGGGUUCAGAACGUCGCGAGACAGUGAAUAGUCCAAGCGGUCUCACCCUUUAGACGUUUUGAAAUUCGAGAGAGAAAUUAUUUUAUUUUUUUGUCCAAAUAUGAAUGAAGGGAUAUAAAUCUGGCUAUAUGCUGGAACAACUCGAGUAUCCGACAGUAGUUUAGUGAAAACUGAACUGAAAAUCUGAUCGGUGGAGUAAAUCAGCAGGGAAGACCCCGCUUAGCGGGGAACCCUCAACGACUAUACGCCAGAAGCCGCGAAGCUAGAAUUAGCGAAGUGGUUAAGAUAUAGUCUGAUCUCUAUGGUGACAUAGAGCUAACAAAUAUUUAAUGUCGGACUCUAUCCGGUACAAGCGUUCGAGUCUUGAGGAGAGCUCUCCCCAGUACGAGAGGACCGGGAGGGGGAAAUCCCUAGUGUGCCGGUUGUCACGUCAGUGGCAACGCCGGGUAGCUACAUUUCUAAUGGAUAACUGCUGAAAGCAUCUAAGUAGGAAGCCAACUCCAAGAUUAGGACUCGUCACUAGAUCCCCCGCAGACUACGGGGUUAAUCGGCAGGCGGUGGAAGUUCCGGUUUACCGGGAUUAAGCCUACCUUGUGCGAAUCGAUCGAACAUUUUUUUGCG
rfam:Candidatus Woesebacteria bacterium RIFCSPLOWO2_01_FTLL_39_21 rifcsplowo2_01_scaffold_8642, whole genome shotgun sequence.